CUGUACAACGUUUGCCAUAACAAGUUAUCUCGAGGAGUCUGUCUAGUUUGAAAACAAACGGAAUCAAUUUAAAUCUUCUAACAGAAAUUUCAAAGUGAAGAAACUCCUGAAGGUUAAAAGUAUCUGUUAAAGAGCUUUCACAUGCAAAAAGAAUCGUCCAAGUGCCUUUGGAGGGAACCUUUAGGACUUUGAAGGAAAUCAGAAGGUGAUAUUUACAUGGAUAUAACAACUGAAAUGCGUACGUUGGGUUAUCAGAAAAGUUUAACCGACUCUGUAAAAAGUAACGUCCCAACCUGAGAUCUAGGUGACCUAGGAGGUCUAGAUGGUCGUCUUCCUUGAAGUAGAAUCGCUGGGAGCAUCGUAUCGACUCCCAAGGGAACUAUUGGUUCUCCAGAAAGUUCGUGUCAAUUUUUAAGUAACCAUACUUUAAGGUAGAUGGCGAUUACAAAAUUCUUAGGUUGGUCCGUCACUUUUUCUAGAGUUCAGCGACUUUUCGACAUCAAGCAUCAGUUUGCACUGAAUCUAUCGCUAAACAGCAUGUCGGAGCAAUUGCUUUAACGCUUGCUAAAGAUUCUGCUUCUUAAAUUAGCAAAAAUAAGGAUAAUGCCGACUCAAACCACUUGAAUGCUUCCAGGAUACUCACUUAAUUCGUACUCCUUAAUGGCAGCUAGCGUGAGAAAUUUACAUAUCGACAAAUUUGCUCACCCUGUACAACGGUAGGCGGUUGCCGUGGACCCUGUAUAUUGUGUGCAUGGCACCGUGGCUUCAAUAAGCCGUGAUACAAGAUGAAAUACAAGGCGGCAACGCCUGCUGCCGCGACGGCC